GGAAACUUUCUGCUCUAGCACUGCAUCUGGGGUGGUAAAAGUGCUUCUGUGCUCUGCCUAGGUAAUGGAAGAGGAUGACAGAUCUGAGCUACUCCUGGGUGAAUCACACUGGGCAAGUGGAAUUUCUCAUGAGCACCUGAAUAACACCUAUGAGAAAAGAGCAAUGGGCUGGACCAAACAACUGUGAAUUUGGGUUUACAAUGAUGCUAAAGGAUUCAGUUAACCACCUCUCAGCACUCUGCCAUACACCAGCUUCACAGGAAAAAGAAAAGCAGAUCUGGCUUUACAUCCAAAUGAAGAAAAUCUGCCAUGCUAAUAGUUGCUUUCAUGUUCCACACGACUUUCACAGAAACAAAUACUUACAGUCUAGAGGACAGUCUCAACAAAUUUAGUUCAUAUUUUACCAGUAAACUGGUUAGAUUCUCUUUUUCUACACUCUGUAAUGUUGCUUCGAUGUAUUUUCAAAGGGUUUGUAGUGUGCUGGCUUUCUCAAGCAGAAUACAUCUGGAACAGUUUUUGUGCAGCUGUGUUAGGUCCAUUCUCUUCCCUUUGCUUUUAUCUGCUCCCCUAUCUGUCUUUUAUACUAUAAUUAUUUGGAAUACUUU